CGGACGGGUGAGUAAUGUCUGGGAAACUGCCUGAUGGAGGGGGAUAACUACUGGAAACGGUAGCUAAUACCGCAUAACGUCGCAAGACCAAAGAGGGGGACCUUCGGGCCUCUUGCCAUCGGAUGUGCCCAGAUGGGAUUAGCUAGUAGGUGGGGUAAAAGCUCACCUAGGCGACGAUCCCUAGCUGGUCUGAGAGGAUGACCAGCCACACUGGAACUGAGACACGGUCCAG
rnacentral:rRNA from 1 species